rnacentral:rRNA from 1 species
GACGAACGCUGGCGGCGUGCUUAACACAUGCAAGUCGAACGGAAAGGCCCUGCUUUUGUGGGGUGCUCGAGUGGCGAACGGGUGAGUAACACGUGAGUAACCUGCCCUUGACUUUGGGAUAACUUCAGGAAACUGGGGCUAAUACCGGAUAGGAGCUCCUGCUGCAUGGUGGGGGUUGGAAAGUUUCGGCGGUUGGGGAUGGACUCGCGGCUUAUCAGCUUGUUGGUGGGGUAGUGGCUUACCAAGGCUUUGACGGGUAGCCGGCCUGAGAGGGUGACCGGCCACAUUGUGACUGAGAUACGGCCCAGACGCCUACGGGAGGCAGCAGUGGGGAAUAUUGCACAAUGGGCGGAAGCCUGAUGCAGCAACGUCGCGUGCGGGAUGACGGCCUUCGGGUUGUAAACCGCUUUCGCCUGUGACGAAGCGUGAGUGACGGUAAUGGGUAAAGAAGCACCGGCUAACUACGUG